CAGUAGCCGCGGUAAAACGUAGGGUGCGAGCGUUAAUCGGAAUUACUGGGCGUAAAGCGUGCGUAGGUGGUGGUUUAAGUCCGUUGUGAAAGCCCUGGGCUCAACCUGGGAAUUGCAGUGGAUACUGGGUCACUAGAGUGUGGUAGAGGAUAGUGGAAUUUCCGGUGUAGCAGUGAAAUGCGUAGAGAUCGGAAGGAACAUCUGUGGCGAAGGCGACUAUCUGGGCCAACACUGACACUGAGGCACGAAAGCGUGGGGAGCAAACAGGAUUAGAUACCCCGGUAGUCCCUGUCUCUUAUAC
rnacentral:rRNA from 1 species